CCUUUUUCCCUUUUUCCCUUUUUCCCUUUGCCCUCCGUCCUUCUGCGUCAACUUCCAACUUCAACGCUGCAUCUUCUCUCCCUUUCUCAAUCUAUGUCCCUUGUUCGAUUCUCUUCUCUUCUCCAGAUAUCUCCAAUCAUCAAUCUCCUUUCCCUGUCAACUUGUCUCCUGUUCCUCUGUUUCUGCAGACAUCCCUGAGCAGCAGUUAGUUACGCGCCUUGCUCCCCCUUCAGCUUGUCCUCCGCAGCUUCAAGUCCUCCUCAAUCAAUCAAGAUAUCUCGUGUCUGCAGCUCUCUUCUCUGGCUUUCUCUCUUCUUUUUCUCUCUCGUGUUUCCUUUUCCACCAAAACAAAAAAAAACAAGUCCACGCCCUUUGUCGCGCUUACAUUAGCCAUCCCCUUUUUUUUUCUUUUUUUCCCACACACAUCUUGCACCAAAACUCUACGCCGUCCAAGGGUUGCCAUCAGAACUUCUCUGCCUACGAGCGUGGUGCCUGUUAAAAUAUCCCAUUUCCUUUGCAGCCUGGGUUUUCAUCCUCCGUGAGCUCCUGGCACGAGAGAUCCCCCUGUCAUCCCACCUUUGAAGUAACCACCUCUCUCCCUUAUCUGUUAGGCGCCACAUUGCACGCUUUCUCUGGUUUGCCAUCACCAUACACUCCUUUCUGGUCUCUUCCUCAAAACCAUCGAUCAUCUAGAAGAAAACCGGGGUACAACUGGAUGCAUCGGUAAUUCCAACUGCCACAGGGAUUCUUUUUUUUUUUUGACCUCCCAAGUCUUGUCAAAUCUGCAUGCACCCUUUUUCACACCCGGAGUUGAGAGCCCC
rnacentral:sRNA from 2 species